rnacentral:sRNA from 1 species
AGGGAUGAGGGUUCGUAUUUGGGACUCGGGUAGUGGCAAGGACGUCACCGCGGCAAUCACGGACUAAAAACCAGUUACGGGAAGCCCGGGUUUGGGCAUAAUCCACAUUAUCCCACCGCAACAAAAACCAGAGCAAAGUGCUGGAGCUUGUGUAGAUGGAAGGAAAUACAGUGAAUGGAUCAGGCCUCUAAUAGGGGUUGUCCAUCAACUAUACCAAAUAUACGAUACGAGAUCGAGGCAGUCUCCACUGCACAAGCUCCAAUAUUAAUGAUAUCCAAUCAAUUAUUUCGAGGGAUCCAGCUAUUUUUACAGGUAUAGUACAUACAUCAACUUAACUUAAAAAUCACAGAUAUUCCCAUCAUCCGACAUGCAAUGAUAGGCCGCCAUUGAUAUGUGCUGUUUAUAAGUAAAGAUGUUGGGCAUGAUUGAUAGGAAGUCAGCUAUCUUAUGAAUUUUUUGAUCUAGAUAAUUAGCACUGAUAUCCAGUUAGUACUGCUUAUAUUAUGAUACUCAAACGCUGCCGAUUCUCUGUAACUGAUCUUCUGUGAAUCACAGCUCUGUAGUACUAGUAUUUUCUCAAUUUCUUAUCUUGCAUUCUUUUCAGCUGUUAGAAUCUUUCAAAACGAGAGUACCUGAAUGAAAUCAGAUGUCUAAAGGAAAAAACUUAGCUUGUGGUGGAAUGGAAGUUGGAGAUAUCUCAAAUCUAUAAGGGUUUUUUCUUGGUCAUGAAGCAUUCAUGGAAUGUCAGUUGAUGUUAAAAACCACUUGCCCCCUACUAGCUCUAUUAUCCUUUACUCACCAAAUCUUUAUUUAUCAAAAUUCAACUAAAUAUAUACAGCCUUAACAGUGAGUAUAUCAUCUCUUUGUACUCAAUACUACUUUAUUCUGUUGAUUAUCCUUCUUACUAAGUUAUACUGAAUAAGUUUAUCUUUCUUAAUAUUGACCUAAAACUCUUGUAAAAUCUUUCAGAGCUGAUUCUUUAUUAUAUACUGUCGGAUCGGUGGAAUAUCCGUCCGAAUAUUGCCCCAAAUACUGAAUAUCAAAUAUGUUGAAUUAAUUGAUCUCUAAU